rnacentral:rRNA from 1 species
UACGUAGGGGGCAAGCGUUGUCCGGAUUUAUUGGGCGUAAAGAGCGUGUAGGCGGUUUGGUAGGUCCGCUGUGAAAACUCGAGGCUCAACCUCGAGACGCCGGUGGAAACCAUCAGACUAGAGUCCGGAAGAGGAGAGUGGAAUUCCUGGUGUAGCGGUGAAAUGCGUAGAUAUCAGGAGGAACACCUGUGGCGAAAGCGGCUCACUGGACCAUAACUGACGCUGAGGAGCGAAAGCGUGGGGAGCGAACAGG